rnacentral:rRNA from 1 species
UUUCCGGUUGAUCCCGCCGGACCUGACUGCUAUCGGAUUGAUACUAAGCCAUGCGAGUCUUUGCAGUAAUGCAAGGCAUACGGCUCAGUAACACGUAGUCAACUUACCCUAUGGACGAGGAUAAUCUCGGGAAACUGAGCAUAAUACUCGAUAGAUCAUAAUGCCUGGAAUGGUUUAUGGUUGAAAUGAUUCGUCGCCAUAGGAUGGGACUGCGGCCUAUCAGCUUGUUGGUGAGGUAAUGGCCCACCAAGGCGAUUACAGGUACGGGCUCUGAGAGGAGAAGCCCGGAGAUGGGUACUGAGACAAGGACCCAGGCCCUAUGGGGCGCAGCAGGCGAGAAAACUUUGCAAUGUGCGAAAGCACGACAAGGUUAAUCCGAGUGAUUUCUGCUAAAGAAAUCUUUUGCAAGUCAUAAAACCACUAGUGAAUAAGGGGUGGGCAAGUUCUGGUGUCAGCCGCCGCGGUAAAACCAGCACCUCAAGUGGUCAGGAGGAUUAUUGGGCCUAAAGCAUCCGUAGCCGGCUCUGUAAGUUUUCGGUUAAAUCCAUGUGCUCAACGCAUGGGCUGCCGAAAAUACUGCAUAGCUAGGGAGUGGGAGAGGUAGACGGUACUCGGUAGGAAGGGGUAAAAUCCUUUGAUCUAUCGAUGACCACCUGUGGCGAAGGCGGUCUACCAGAACACGUUCGACGGUGAGGGAUGAAAGCUGGGGGAGCAAACCGGAUUAGAUACCCGGGUAGUCCCAGCCGUAAACGAUGCAGACUCGAUGAUGCAUUGGCAUAUAGCCAGUGCAGUGUCGCAGGGAAGCCGUUAAGUCUGCCGCCUGGGAAGUACGUACGCAAGUAUGAAACUUAAAGGAAUUGGCGGGGGAGCACCACAAGGGGUGAAGCCUGCGGUUCAAUUGGAGUCAACGCCGGA